ACAGGGCCUAGAGGUGUUGCAGAUAUGACUGUUGUGUCAUAUGUGUAGGUGGCAGAAAGAAGAGAAGCUAUGUCUGUGCUCAGUAUUCUGACAUGUGUUGAGAAGUUUGGCCUCUUGCUUGUAUUGUAAU